ACUGCGGUAGGAUCAUUGUCGGUUCGAGACCCUGAAUCGUGUAGGGGACGGAGCUCGCCUCCCUCCCCGCCCCCAAAACCUCGGCGACGCGCGGACACUUGGCCUUGCAGCGAUGCGCUGGAGGGCCAAGCUAAAGGGUCCCGCGCCGUCGCGGUCGAGGGUCACAUCGAAUGCCGCGAUCGAAAGCGUGGAUUCCCCGCGGUGCGAAGAGACUCGGACGCAAAAUCUGGAUCACAACUGGUGGCUCCGAAACGACGUAUGUGUCGGAGGGAGCGGCCCCUGCUCGGUUGUAGUUCGGAGGAGGUCCGGGCCCCGUCCCCCGUUGAGAUUGCAUGGCUCGAUCGUGUGCGCGGCGCUGUGCCAGGGAUCCGAGGAUUCAUCGGCGGCAAGUCGGGACUGUGGGUGCACUCGCAUGAUGGCGUGGCAGGGGCCCCCGUCCGACGACAAGACUCUCCCUCUCGGCGACUCCCACCUUUGCGAGGUGAUGGGGCGGGGACACACCACAGCGUUCUUCGUCGCACCCCUCGGGUGCUCGGAGGGCGGGAUGUGUCAACACCCAACACACGGGUGCGCACCGCGCACCUUAGAAAUCCAAAAGAAUGAAGUGCGAUCCAGCGCCUUGUGCGCCUGGGUCGGACGAAAGAGAAGAAACAUAACGAAAUCACGACUCUCGGCAACGGAUAUCUCGGCUCUCGCCACGAUGAAGAAUGUAGCGAAAUGCGAUACUUAGUGUGAAUUGCAGAAUCCCGUGAAUCAUCAAGUCUUUGAACGCAAGUUGCGCCCGAGGCCUCGGCCAAGGGCACGUCUGCUUGGGCGUCGCACUCCAAAAUUGCCCUCCCCCGCGAGGAGCGUAGAUGGCCGUCCGUGUCCGCAAGUGGGGCGGUCGGCUGAAAUGAGCACGAGGUCCGUCGAUCCGUCGCGACGAGCGGUGGUUCCCAAAGGCCGGCGUUGGUUUGCGCUGAUCGAGCGAUGCCUCGUGUGGAACUUUGUCUUUGGUGCCCCGGCCCGCCAGAGUGCGGGCAUGGUGCAUCUCUACCGCGUCCCCAAGUCAGG
rnacentral:rRNA from 1 species